rnacentral:lncRNA from 1 species
UCCCUGAGCAUGAGAGGCUGAGUUUCAGUGCUGUCCUGGGAAGCUAUGAGCACCAGAGCACAGAGAUGCACAUGCACAUCCAGGUCCACCAACUUUGAUGGGGAGGGGUGAAUCUCCAGCAAGCAGACGACAGCAGAGAGCAGACAGGCCAUGAAGCUGCAUCUUGAGCCAGUUCUGGUAUACCUCAGAGCCACAAUCUGAGUUGCUUUGAUUAAGCCCCUGUGUACAGACAGGAAGCUGAGAAUCAAAUCUGGCUACCCAAAGGAAUUUACUCUGCAGUGUGCUGUUUCAAUGCAAUGACAUCACAGACACCGGCAGGGUUCCUACCCAGCAUGAGAUAGACACAGCUCCCAGCAUCAUCUGGCACCCAGCAAGUUCACCUCUGGAACUUCCUCAAGCUCUUUCUGGAAGUGACACAGAGCUGCUCAGUGCCCCGGCACUCAGGUUCAGUUUGGACAAGGAUUUUGGAUGUCCGCAUAGAAGAGCUGUUUGAACACAGGGGUUUAGUUUGGUGUUUUACUAAAUAAACUUUGCAUUUACA